GACGAACGCUGGCGGCGUGCUUAACACAUGCAAGUCGAGCGGUGAACCACUUCGGUGGGAUCAGCGGCGAACGGGUGAGUAACACGUGGGCAACCCUGCCCCUACGCACUGGGGAGUAAACCCCGGGAAACCCGGGGCGUAAGUACCGGAUAUGACUUCGAAUGGCAUCACUCGAAGUGGAAAGAUUUAUCGGCUAGGGAUGGGCCCGCGGCCUAUCAGCUUGUUGGUGGGGUAAUGGCCUACCAAGGCGACGACGGGUAGCCGGCCCGAGA
rnacentral:rRNA from 1 species